UUGCUUUGACAGCACAUAUACUAAAAUCAGAAUAAUACAGAGAAGAUUAGCAUGGUCCCUGCACAAGGAUGACAUGCAAAUUUGUGAAGCAGUCCAUAUUUUU
rnacentral:snRNA from 1 species